GGAGAAGUACUCAAGAGGCUGAAGAGGACGGUUUGCUAAACCGUUAGGGUUCGUUAUUAGGGCCGCAUGGGUUCGAAUCCCAUCUUCUCCG
rfam:Mogibacterium sp. CM50 ctg120007703373, whole genome shotgun sequence.